GCGGGAGGGGGGUGGGGGAUCCUGAGGCUCCCGUGGACCCGAAUCUGGGAAGGGCCGGAGCGGCGCCAGUCGACUCGCUUCGUCACGACUUGCCCAGACCAGACACGCUUCGUCUUGCACCCUGGAAGAAAGAACCGGCCCGCCUCUCGGGCUCGGCUGCUCCUCGGCCUCAGCGAGCCCCGCAGGCGCCAGCUGUGCCCCUGGGGUCUGGAUCUUGUAACGCUCCGUCCUCCUGCAGCGCCCGGCACCCGCCCAGGAGCGCGCAGCUGGGGUGCUGCGGAUACGUCGGUGAGCGAGAGAAACCACGGCCCUCGUUCCCGCUGAUCCUGCAGCCCCAGUGGAUGGAGCCCCGAGCCCACAGACGUGUCAGGAAAGAAAAAAAAAUUCCUGAUGGUUGGUCCCAGCAGGGACUCCCGGGCGGACUGAGGAAUGUGUGGACCUUCCUCAGCGCAUUGAUCUCUCUGUCGGUCACGAGUAUCCUUCAGAAGACUCCCAAAAUGAGAGGCCUGAGGUCUGCAAGUCGCUGCUAGAAAUACUUUAGUUUCUCUAGAGAAUAGAAUGCAGCCACCGUGCAAGUUUGCAAGGGCCCUGGGCGCCCGCUGACCGAACUCAGGCGCGUGCGCUCGCAGUUUGCUCCCGCUCCUGGCCAGGCACUGCCAUAGCAACGUCCUGGACGCCCAGACCUCUGGCGGCCGCAGCGGAGGGGGACCCGCCUUCUCCCGCUCGCAAGGGCGUGGUGGCGGCGUAGGCGGCGGAUUGGCUCGCAAGCAUGCCCUUCCAGAAGCACGUUUACUACCCGCUGGCCAGCUGCCCCGAGGGGCCAGAUGCCCCUGCGGCCGGCCCGGCCUCCAUGCCCGGUCACGCCUCCAGCGCGGCGUGGGGACCCCUGCCCUUCUUCCAGUUCCGGCCGCGGCUGGAGAGCGUGGACUGGCGACGGCUGAGUGCCAUCGACGUGGACAAGGUGGCGGGAGCCGUGGACGUGCUGACGCUGCAGGAGAACAUCAUGAACAUCACCUUUUGCAAACUGGAGGAUGAGAAGUGCCCGCACUGCCACUCUGGGGUGGAUCCGGUGCUGCUGAAGCUCAUCCGCCUGGCGCAGCUCACCAUCGAGUACCUGAUGCACUCGCAGGAGUUCCUCACCUCGCAGCUGCACACCCUGGAGGAGCGGCUGCGCCAGAGCCUGGGCGACUGCGAGCAGAGCAAAGAGCUGCUCGCCAAGCAGGCGGGGGAGAUGAAGCUGCUCAAGGAGGAGUGUAGGCGCAGGAAGAAGAUGAUCUCCACCCAGCAGCUGAUGAUCGAGGCCAAAGCCAGCUAUUAUCAGUGCCAUUUUUGUGACAAGGCCUUUAUGAACCGUGCUUUUCUACAAAGUCAUGUUCAACGCCGCCACCCUGAAGAUGCUCACCUUGAGUAUAAAGCAAAGGCACAGACCGACAAGCUCCAGAAGGAGGUUGACAUGCUGAAGGAUCAGCUGCAGCUGACCAGGUCUCAGUUGGAGGCUGCCCAGCAUGCCCAUGCAGUCAGAUUCUCCAAGGAAUAUGAAAUGCAGAAAACAAAAGAGGAAGACUUUCUGAAGUUAUUUGACAAGUGGAAAGAAGAAGAAAAGGAGAAGCUAGUUGAUGAAAUGGAAAAAGUCAAGGAGAUGUUUAUGAAGGAGUUUAAAGAAUUAACUUCCAAGAAUUCAGCAUUAGAAUAUCAGUUGUCAGAAAUCCAGAAGUCCAAUAUGCAAAUCAAGUCCAACAUAGGCACGCUGAGAGAUGCACAUGAGUUUAAAGAAGACCGCCCGAACCCCCAGGAUUUCCAGAAUGUGAUGCAGCUGCUUGACAGCCAGGAAAGCAAGUGGACAGCUCGAGUCCAAGCUCUCCAUCAGGAGCACAAGAAAGAGAAGGGUCGGCUUCUGUCACACAUAGAGAAACUUCGAACCUCAAUGAUAGAUGAUCUAAAUGCAAGUAAUGUUUUCUACAAGAAAAGGAUAGAAGAGCUAGGCCAGAAACUCCAGGAGCAGAACGAGCUGAUUAUCACUCAGAGGCAGCAGAUUAAAGAGUUUACCAGUAAACCAUUAAGCAGUGUCAGUGAAGCCAAAGGGAAUUCUUUAACCUGGCAAGCUUUUGAAUCUAAGUCAGCUGCCCCAGCUGUACCUAUGAAUGCCUCCACCCCUCAGACUCUGGAAGUCAAAUCAAAUCUAACAAUGGCACAUGAACAGGCAUUUUCGUCGCACAUACUGGAACCAAUAGAAGAACUUUCAGAGGAAGAAAAAGGAAGGGAGAGUGAACAGAAAUCAAGUAACAAGAGAAAUUUAAGGAAAGUUUUGAAGAUAAAUCCCUCCCUCACUAAGGAAAUAAAAACAGUCUUGGAGCAGAGCUUGGUGGAGAAACUGGAAACCUUGGGCAUUAAUGCAGACAUACGUGGUAUUCCAAGUGACCACUUGAAUAUUGUGAUGCGAGCUGUGGAAUCAACAAGACAUGAGCGAGAAAGACAAAUACCGAACAUGCAGCAAAUCCGAGAGCGCCUUGAACAUCAGCUCAGCAGUAAAAUUGAAGAGAGAACAUUACUCUCUUCAGAUAAGUACACUGUUUCUCAAAUGGACACGCUUUCAACUGGAGAAGUACCCAAAGCAAUCCAACUUCCUCCCAAAAGCAGACAAUUGGUUAGACAAAGACCUGUUUUUACUGAUAGGACGCCUGUUCCAAAAAUUAAGAAAAAUAUCAUAGAAGACCAUCUUCCCAGAAAGUCUUCAUCUACUUCGACACCUCCCUUCAGUUCAGAGGAGGAGCUGGACGAUGACGGCUUCAUUCAGGCCUAUGUGUCCCCGGAGUUACUUCUGGGACAGUCGUCCAGGAGCAACAAGAGUGGUGUCGGAAAGAACAUCGUCAAAAGUGACACAGACUGGACCGAGGGAAGUGAAAUGGAGGACUCUGAUGUUUCUCCCAAGCCCACAGGAACCUCCAUUAAAACACUAACUGAAAAAGUUGAAAAGAUGGUUUCACAUCACAGAAAUGUGAAUAAGCCAGUUGGUGGGAUUAAUGUUACUGAUGUGUUCAUGAUAAAAGAAGAAUUACAAGAAGAACUGAAGUGUGCAGAUGUGGAUGAUGAUGACUGGGACAUAUCAUCCUUAGAGGAAGAAAAAUCUUUGGGAAAAAAAGCUGGGAAAGAACAGAAGGACCCUCCACUUGUGAAGAAUGAGUCAAAUUCUACUCACGUGCGAAGUGCCUGGGGUGCGCUCUAAGGAACCCAUGGGAGAAGCAGGAUCUUGUGCACCCCCUCUGGGAAAAUGAGCUAUCACCGCCUUGUCCCUCUGCUGCCAUCGACCAAAACGACUUCAAGAAAUGAGUGCUUUAAAAAGCAGCUUAGUAGCUGAGCCUGAUCGGAGUGACUCUUCAAAAGAUUCUCCCAGAAACCAACAGUGUUCAGUGGCGGCCUACACACUUCUAAAGCCCCUGCCUUACAGUGUUUCUCUCAGUAACAAGGAUGCCACCUCAGAGAACAAGGGUCUCUUCAAUAGCACUUAAUACAGUAUUGAAAAACAGUCAGCAGUAUUUUAAAGCAUAGAUAGGUGUUUCACUUCUGCAGCUAAAAAAAUAACAUGCCAUUAAAUUCAGAAAAAGUGUCUUCUUCAGAAUGGUACUCCAGUGUUAAGUGCAUUUUUUCAACUUUUUUUUUAAUGUAUAGCAAAUUUUGGCUUGGAUUAUUACAGCUUUUUUAUAUCUUAUGUAUAUUGUCACAUUGGACACAUUGAUAUUAUAAAACUCAGUUGGACUUUAAAUUGCGUUAGUGAGCAGUAAAAUCUUAAGAGUUAGACUGAUUAUUUGUCAUAUUAGAAGUUUAGAAUGAUAAUAAUAUAGCUAGGCCAAUGUUAAAUACAUCUUCCUGAAUUUCUGGGUCAUAUUCACCUUUGGGUCGCUGUAAGCAUGUUGCCACUAAAUGGUUAUUUUCUGUGCUGUAAUCUUUUAUCCUGGAUAUUUUAUGAAUAUAAUGUAGCUAUUUAAAAUGCCAAUUAAUUUAUCAAUAUGAAUAGCAAAGCGUUACUGACUCACAUGUGUAGGUAGUUUUUCUUCUUUUGGACUUGAAAAAUAUCCAACUCACCUUAUAAAAUACCUCAAAACUAAUUUAGUUAUGUUGUUGAACAAUGACAUUGUUAAAGGCCAAAAGGUUCAUAUGAGAUGUUUUUUGCAUUUUUUAUACUUUGUGGUACUAUCUGUACUUUGUUUCCAAAAAAAGUAACAUUUUAACUAAAUGGUUGAUUGGAUUUUAGAUCUCUUUACAUUUGUCAAGGUUACCAGUAAAGCCCUCUCCAUCACA